rnacentral:rRNA from 1 species
GACGAACGCUGGCGGCGUGCUUAACACAUGCAAGUCGAGCGGUAAGGCCCUUUCGGGGGUACACGAGCGGCGAACGGGUGAGUAACACGUGGGUGACCUGCCUUUAGCUCUGGAAUAAGCCUGGGAAACUGGGUCUAAUACCGGAUAUGACUCCGCGGUGCAUGCUGUGGGGUGGAAAGCCUUGUGCGGCUGGAGAUGGGCCCGCGGCCUAUCAGCUUGUUGGUGGGGUGAUGGCCUACCAAGGCGACGACGGGUAGCCGGCCUGAGAGGGCGACCGGCCACACUGGGACUGAGACACGGUCCAGACACCUACGGGUGGCAGCAGUCGAGAAUUUUCACAAUGGGCGAAAGCCUGAUGGAGCGACGCCGCGUGGGGAUGAAGGGCUUCGGCUCGUAAACCCCUGUCAUUCGAGAACAAACCCCACGGCUAAACAGUCGUGGGCUGAUAGUAUCGGAAGA